GCUUACGGCCAUACCAACCUGGCGAUGCCCGAUCUCGUCUGAUCUCGGAAGCUAAGCAGGUUUGGGCCUGGUUAGUACUUGGAUGGGAGACCGCCUGGGAAUGCCAGGUGCUGUAAGCU
ensembl:rRNA 5S_rRNA 5S ribosomal RNA